rnacentral:rRNA from 1 species
GACGAACGCUGGCGGCGUGCUUAACACAUGCAAGUCGAACGGAAAGGCCCUGCUUUUGUGGGGUGCUCGAGUGGCGAACGGGUGAGUAACACGUGAGUAACCUGCCCUUGACUUUGGGAUAACUUCAGGAAACUGGGGCUCAUACCGGAUAGGAGCUCCUGCUGCAUGGUGGGGGUUGGAAAGUUUCGGCGGUUGGGGAUGGACUCGCGGCUUAUCAGCUUGUUGGUGGGGUAGUGGCUUACCAAGGCUUUGACGGUUAGCCGGACUGAGAGGGUGACCGGCCACAUUGGGACUGGGAUACGGCCCAGACUCCUACGGGAGGCAGCAGUGGGGAAUAUUGCACAAUGGGCGGAAGCCUGAUGCAGCAACGCCGCGUGCGGGAUGACGGCCUUCGGGUUGUAAACCGCUUUCGCCUGUGACGAAGCGUGAGUGACGGUAAUUGGUAAAGAAGCACCGGCUAACUACGUG